CGAGCACAGAUGCAGAGCCUCGGUCUGACACCAUUAAAAGCCUCAGUAGAACACACCUGACUAUCCUCCACCAGUCAUACAAGGAGAAUAGUCUAAUGCCUAUCAAAAAGAGAUCUGACCCAAGCAAGCACAGGUUACACAUGAAGCAUCAGGACUUGCAGCGAGUGGUGAACUUCAUCAACACCUAUGCAGAGGAUAAUGCAAUAGUAUUACCUGGACGCCAACCAGGACACAAACACUUUGGUCGGAAGCUGCUGCCAUGUCAUGUGACACAAACUGCAGUGUGGCAUCUCUACAAGGAAAUGAUGACAACACAUGAGGUAUGUGUAGUCGCGCUGUCUUCCUUCAAGAAUUUGUGGACCACCUGACUCCGUACUUUAGCCUAAUGUCACAGAUCAAGCAGUACCAGCACUUCAGGAGCAUGGUUUUGUUGUCGCCAAGGAGCGUUCAGACUCAGUUGGGACCAGGUUUCAGCUGCUCCCAGUCAUCAUGACUAUCUGCACUGCCUCUAUGCACAUUCACAUGACUUUCUCUUAACACACACAGCAUACGUUGCUGCUAUUAUAAAAAAUGCAUCCUGCUGCUCAGCCACUUUACUGCUUAUUGUAUGCAUAUAUGUAACUACCUUGUGUAUCACCAGUAUCUCUGACAUCGUUAUUGAUAUUGUUCUUGUACAUACUGUAUAGUUUGUUCUUUCUCUACUGGCAUUGACACUUAUUGUUAUUGGUUUUUAUAUAUUGACACUUUCUAUUUUUUAUAUUGCAAGUAACCAUUUGGUUGUACCGUUUAC
ensembl:lncRNA